rnacentral:lncRNA from 1 species
GCAGAAGGAAAAGCAAGUAAAUGGUGUAGUUAGACCACAUCAUUAUCACUUAGCUUGCGAAAUUCUAUAGUGACGGCCUUAUCUAAGGUCAUUAGAUGAGGCAAUAUCUCUUAACUGUCGGAUUAAACUAACCAAUUUGAUCAAACAACUAAGAGAUAACUAGUUCAUCUAAGGGCUCUCACUAUAGAAUGACUAGUUUAGCUCCACUGCUCAUCUCCAAUGGAAAAAUUCUAUAGCGAAGGGCCUUAUAUAUGGCUCCACUGCUCAUCUCCAAUGGACAAGAAUUCUAUAAGACCCUAUUUAUUAAUUGUUGGAUUAAAUUGGUUAGUCGUUGGAUCAAAUUGGUUAACACGAUCCAACAGUUAAGAUAUAUGACAUUCUUUCACUAUAGAAUGAAUCCUCCAAUGAAAGCAGGCCAAACAGAUAAUUUGGAUUUUUGCCCAAGAUCAGGCCAAAUUAGGCCUGAC